GUCCAUGGUCUACCAUAACCUUUCGGAUCCCGUUUUCACGACUACGCGCACCGAAAACGCCUGAAUGCUUCCGAACCUCACCGGAACUUUACCGGAACCAUUCAAAUGGUCUUCCAACCAAAUGUCCACCGUUACUUCGUAAUUUUGGAAUUCCUGUAUCUUACACGGAUACUGCUCACACUCGCACAAGAGAUCAUUCUGCAUACUGCUCAAUAACGUGAUGCGAGCAAUGCGAUCCUUUUUGAAC
rnacentral:lncRNA from 1 species